rnacentral:rRNA from 1 species
UACGAAAGGUGCAAGCGUUACUCGGAAUCACUGGGCGUAAAGCGCACGUAGGCGGACUUACAGGUCAAUUGUGAAAUACCUGGGCUCAACUCAGGAACUGCAGUUGAAACCGUUUGUCUUGAAUACCUGAGAGGGUGGGGGAAUACCUGGUGGAGAAGUGAAAUUCGUAGAGAUCAGGUGGAACACCGGAGGCGAAGGCGCCUGCCUGGCAGUGUAUUGACGCUGAGGUGCGAAAGCGUGGGGAGCAAACAGG